UUGAUAUGAGAGAGAAACAUUGAUUGGUUGCCUCCCAUCCAUGCCCAGACUGGGGAUCAUGCACAGCCAGACCAGGCAUCGAAUCCACAACCUAGAGAGAGAGGAAGGAAGAGAGAGAAACAUCUGUGCAAGAGAAGCAUUGAUUGGUUGCCUCCCAUACGCCCCAGACUGGGAAUCAGACAUGCCUAGAUUGGAAUUGAACCCACAACCCAGAAUCUCAGAGCCUUCCGAGACUGGAGUCUUCCCUGCCACACCUUUCAGCUAAUACAACCUUUAUAGAGGUAUGAUUGUUACCA